GGGUUGUGAGGUUAAGCGACUAAGCGUACACGGUGGAUGCCCUGGCAGUCAGAGGCGAUGAAGGACGUGCUAAUCUGCGAUAAGCGUCGGUAAGGUGAUAUGAACCGUUAUAACCGGCGAUUUCCGAAUGGGGAAACCCAGUGUGAUUCGUCACACUAUCAUUAACUGAAUCCAUAGGUUAAUGAGGCGAACCGGGGGAACUGAAACAUCUAAGUACCCCGAGGAAAAGAAAUCAACCGAGAUUCCCCCAGUAGCGGCGAGCGAACGGGGAGCAGCCCAGAGCCUGAAUCAGUGUGUGUGUUAGUGGAAGCGUCUGGAAAGGCGCGCGAUACAGGGUGACAGCCCCGUACACAAAAAUGCACAUGCUGUGAGCUCGAUGAGUAGGGCGGGACACGUGGUAUCCUGUCUGAAUAUGGGGGGACCAUCCUCCAAGGCUAAAUACUCCUGACUGACCGAUAGUGAACCAGUACCGUGAGGGAAAGGCGAAAAGAACCCCGGCGAGGGGAGUGAAAAAGAACCUGAAACCGUGUACGUACAAGCAGUGGGAGCACGCUUAGGCGUGUGACUGCGUACCUUUUGUAUAAUGGGUCAGCGACUUAUAUUCUGUAGCAAGGUUAACCGAAUAGGGGAGCCGAAGGGAAACCGAGUCUUAACUGGGCGUUAAGUUGCAGGGUAUAGACCCGAAACCCGGUGAUCUAGCCAUGGGCAGGUUGAAGGUUGGGUAACACUAACUGGAGGACCGAACCGACUAAUGUUGAAAAAUUAGCGGAUGACUUGUGGCUGGGGGUGAAAGGCCAAUCAAACCGGGAGAUAGCUGGUUCUCCCCGAAAGCUAUUUAGGUAGCGCCUCGUGAACUCAUCUCCGGGGGUAGAGCACUGUUUCGGCAAGGGGGUCAUCCCGACUUACCAACCCGAUGCAAACUGCGAAUACCGGAGAAUGUUAUCACGGGAGACACACGGCGGGUGCUAACGUCCGUCGUGAAGAGGGAAACAACCCAGACCGCCAGCUAAGGUCCCAAAGUCAUGGUUAAGUGGGAAACGAUGUGGGAAGGCCCAGACAGCCAGGAUGUUGGCUUAGAAGCAGCCAUCAUUUAAAGAAAGCGUAAUAGCUCACUGGUCGAGUCGGCCUGCGCGGAAGAUGUAACGGGGCUAAACCAUGCACCGAAGCUGCGGCAGCGACACUGUGUGUUGUUGGGUAGGGGAGCGUUCUGUAAGCCUGUGAAGGUGUGCUGUGAGGCAUGCUGGAGGUAUCAGAAGUGCGAAUGCUGACAUAAGUAACGAUAAAGCGGGUGAAAAGCCCGCUCGCCGGAAGACCAAGGGUUCCUGUCCAACGUUAAUCGGGGCAGGGUGAGUCGACCCCUAAGGCGAGGCCGAAAGGCGUAGUCGAUGGGAAACAGGUUAAUAUUCCUGUACUUGGUGUUACUGCGAAGGGGGGACGGAGAAGGCUAUGUUGGCCGGGCGACGGUUGUCCCGGUUUAAGCGUGUAGGCUGGUUUUCCAGGCAAAUCCGGAAAAUCAAGGCUGAGGCGUGAUGACGAGGCACUACGGUGCUGAAGCAACAAAUGCCCUGCUUCCAGGAAAAGCCUCUAAGCAUCAGGUAACAUCAAAUCGUACCCCAAACCGACACAGGUGGUCAGGUAGAGAAUACCAAGGCGCUUGAGAGAACUCGGGUGAAGGAACUAGGCAAAAUGGUGCCGUAACUUCGGGAGAAGGCACGCUGAUAUGUAGGUGAAGCGACUUGCUCGUGGAGCUGAAAUCAGUCGAAGAUACCAGCUGGCUGCAACUGUUUAUUAAAAACACAGCACUGUGCAAACACGAAAGUGGACGUAUACGGUGUGACGCCUGCCCGGUGCCGGAAGGUUAAUUGAUGGGGUCAGCGCAAGCGAAGCUCUUGAUCGAAGCCCCGGUAAACGGCGGCCGUAACUAUAACGGUCCUAAGGUAGCGAAAUUCCUUGUCGGGUAAGUUCCGACCUGCACGAAUGGCGUAAUGAUGGCCAGGCUGUCUCCACCCGAGACUCAGUGAAAUUGAACUCGCUGUGAAGAUGCAGUGUACCCGCGGCAAGACGGAAAGACCCCGUGAACCUUUACUAUAGCUUGACACUGAACAUUGAGCCUUGAUGUGUAGGAUAGGUGGGAGGCUUUGAAGUGUGGACGCCAGUCUGCAUGGAGCCGACCUUGAAAUACCACCCUUUAAUGUUUGAUGUUCUAACGUGGACCCGUAAUCCGGGUUGCGGACAGUGUCUGGUGGGUAGUUUGACUGGGGCGGUCUCCUCCUAAAGAGUAACGGAGGAGCACGAAGGUUGGCUAAUCCUGGUCGGACAUCAGGAGGUUAGUGCAAUGGCAUAAGCCAGCUUGACUGCGAGCGUGACGGCGCGAGCAGGUGCGAAAGCAGGUCAUAGUGAUCCGGUGGUUCUGAAUGGAAGGGCCAUCGCUCAACGGAUAAAAGGUACUCCGGGGAUAACAGGCUGAUACCGCCCAAGAGUUCAUAUCGACGGCGGUGUUUGGCACCUCGAUGUCGGCUCAUCACAUCCUGGGGCUGAAGUAGGUCCCAAGGGUAUGGCUGUUCGCCAUUUAAAGUGGUACGCGAGCUGGGUUUAGAACGUCGUGAGACAGUUCGGUCCCUAUCUGCCGUGGGCGCUGGAGAACUGAGGGGGGCUGCUCCUAGUACGAGAGGACCGGAGUGGACGCAUCACUGGUGUUCGGGUUGUCAUGCCAAUGGCACUGCCCGGUAGCUAAAUGCGGAAGAGAUAAGUGCUGAAAGCAUCUAAGCACGAAACUUGCCCCGAGAUGAGUUCUCCCUGACCCUUUAAGGGUCCUGAAGGAACGUUGAAGACGACGACGUUGAUAGGCCGGGUGUGUAAGCGCAGCGAUGCGUUGAGCUAACCGGUACUAAUGAACCGUGAGGCUUAACCUUACAACGCCGAAG
rnacentral:rRNA from 1 species